rnacentral:rRNA from 1 species
GUACACUCCUGCGGGAGGCAGCAGUGGGGAAUUUUGGACAAUGGGCGAAAGCCUGAUCCAGCAAUGCCGCGUGUGUGAAGAAGGCCUUCGGGUUGUAAAGCACUUUUGUCCGGAAAGAAAUCCUUGGCUCUAAUACAGUCGGGGGAUGACGGUACCGGAAGAAUAAGCACCGGCUAACUACGUGCCAGCAGCCGCGGUAAUACGUAGGGUGCGAGCGUUAAUCGGAAUUACUGGGCGUAAAGCGUGCGCAGGCGGUUUGCUAAGACCGAUGUGAAAUCCCCGGGCUCAACCUGGGAACUGCAUUGGUGACUGGCAGGCUAGAGUAUGGCAGAGGGGGGUAGAAUUCCACGUGUAGCAGUGAAAUGCGUAGAGAUGUGGAGGAAUACCGAUGGCGAAGGCAGCCCCCUGGGCCAAUACUGACGCUCAUGCACGAAAGCGUGGGGAGCAAACAGGAUUAGAUACCCUUGUAGUCCCAU